rnacentral:lncRNA from 1 species
CCCACGAACCCCCUCCACGAAGCAUCACCUCCCCUUUCCAUAGGUCAGAGUCAGCACAGGCGUGGUUCCUCACAAAUCAAAGGCCCUGCAGAAGUGAUCUGCUAAGGGCAUCACAAGCAGCAACCACUCUGGGGAAGUCACGCUUAACAGAGAAAGCCAUCAUCCAAUCUGCACUCCUUGAUCUUUUAUUAGUUACAGUAUCAGAGAGGAUAGGUUUGCUUCUAGAUCUUGUUGAAAGCAGCAAUGUCGACGCUUUGCACAUAGUCCUCGAACUUGGUGAUCUCCUCCUCCAGGAUGUCUGUCCCGACUUUGUCAUCCUCCACUACACACUGGAUUUGGAGUUUCUUAAUGCCAUAACCUACUGGGACCAGCUUAGAGGCUCCCCAAACGAGCCCAUCCAUUUGGACAGACCUCACACACUCCUCCAUCUUCGCCAUGUCAGUCUCAUCAUCCCACGGCUUCACGUCCAGAAGGAUGGAAGAUUUGGCAAUAAGACCUGGUUUCUUGGCUUUCUUCUCUGCAUACUGACGCAGUCUCUCCUCCCGCACUUUGGCAGCCUCCUGAUCUUCCUCUUCAUCAUCGCUGCCAAAAAGGUUGAUGUCGUCAUCAUCAUCAUCUUCCUCUGCAGCAGCUGGCUCAGCUUUCUUCGCAGGUGAAGCAGAUGGCAGCUCUACUUUCUUGGAGGGAACACCGAACGGUUCCACUUUCUGGGUUGGUGGAACAGGUGAGGGUUGAUGGGAGGUAGAUUUUUCCAGAGCAUUCAGGCGGCUUUCCAGCUUGAAGAUGGCCUUCUGGAGAUCUGCAACAACACUGUGAAGGUUUUGAUUUUCUACCUCCAGGUGAGAGAUUCUGGAGAGAAGUUCAUUUUGGUCACCAGGCCCAGAAGAACUCGUGCUUGCGCUAGUUGAGCGUCCUGACUGCCUCUUUUGACGGGCAGGAGCUUCU